AAAAUUCACGUUUCUUUUUUUGGGUUAGUAGGAGAGUCCGAGGAUGUAAGAGAUAAACAAAACAGAGAGAGAGAGAGAAGGAGAGAGAGGGCGAUGAUGCCAAACCCAAAUUGAGGAAACUCCAAUACUUUUCCCCUCUUCCUAUGAGGAAAACAAUGAGAGCAGAGCAAUGCUGCUUCUCAAUUCUAAAGAUUUGAUUUUGUUGUUGAUACAAUCAAAGUGGUUUGGUUGUUUGUUGGGUGAAAAAAAAAA